rnacentral:rRNA from 1 species
GGUUAAGCGACUAAGCGUACACGGUGGAUGCCCUGGCAGUCAGAGGCGAUGAAGGACGUGCUAAUCUGCGAAAAGCGUCGGUAAGGUGAUAUGAACCGUUAUAACCGGCGAUGUCCGAAUGGGGAAACCCAGUGCAAUUCGUUGCACUAUCGUUAACUGAAUACAUAGGUUAACGAGGCGAACCGGGGGAACUGAAACAUCUAAGUACCCCGAGGAAAAGAAAUCAACCGAGAUUCCCCCAGUAGCGGCGAGCGAACGGGGAGCAGCCCAGAGUCUGAAUCAGCUUGUGUGUUAGUGGAACGGUCUGGAAAGUCCGACGGUACAGGGUGAUAGUCCCGUACACCAAAAUGCACAGGCUGUGAACUCGAAGAGUAGGGCGGGACACGUGGUAUCCUGUCUGAAUAUGGGGGGACCAUCCUCCAAGGCUAAAUACUCCUGACUGACCGAUAGUGAACCAGUACCGUGAGGGAAAGGCGAAAAGAACCCCGGCGAGGGGAGUGAAAAAGAACCUGAAACCGUGUACGUACAAGCAGUGGGAGCACCUUCGGGUGUGACUGCGUACCUUUUGUAUAAUGGGUCAGCGACUUAUAUUCUGUAGCAAGGUUAACCGUAUAGGGGAGCCGCAGGGAAACCGAGUCUUAACUGGGCGUUAAGUUGCAGGGUAUAGACCCGAAACCCGGUGAUCUAGCCAUGGGCAGGUUGAAGGUUGGGUAACACUAACUGGAGGACCGAACCGACUAAUGUUGAAAAAUUAGCGGAUGACUUGUGGCUGGGGGUGAAAGGCCAAUCAAACCGGGAGAUAGCUGGUUCUCCCCGAAAGCUAUUUAGGUAGCGCCUCGUGAAUUCAUCUUCGGGGGUAGAGCACUGUUUCGGCUAGGGGGUCAUCCCGACUUACCAACCCGAUGCAAACUACGAAUACCGAAGAAUGUUAUCACGGGAGACACACGGCGGGUGCUAACGUCCGUCGUGAAGAGGGAAACAACCCAGACCGCCAGCUAAGGUCCCAAAGUCAUGGUUAAGUGGGAAACGAUGUGGGAAGGCACAGACAGCCAGGAUGUUGGCUUAGAAGCAGCCAUCAUUUAAAGAAAGCGUAAUAGCUCACUGGUCGAGUCGGCCUGCGCGGAAGAUGUAACGGGGCUAAACCAUGCACCGAAGCUGCGGCAGCGACACUAUGUGUUGUUGGGUAGGGGAGCGUUCUGUAAGCCUGCGAAGGUGUGCUGUGAGGCAUGCUGGAGGUAUCAGAAGUGCGAAUGCUGACAUAAGUAACGAUAAAGCGGGUGAAAAGCCCGCUCGCCGGAAGACCAAGGGUUCCUGUCCAACGUUAAUCGGGGCAGGGUGAGUCGACCCCUAAGGCGAGGCCGAAAGGCGUAGUCGAUGGGAAACAGGUUAAUAUUCCUGUACUUGGUGUUACUGCGAAGGGGGGACGGAGAAGGCUAUGUUAGCCGGGCGACGGUUGUCCCGGUUUAAGCAUGUAGGCUGGUUAUCCAGGCAAAUCCGGAUAAUCAAGGCUGAGGUGUGAUGACGAGGCACUACGGUGCUGAAGUAACAAAUGCCCUGCUUCCAGGAAAAGCCUCUAAGCAUCAGGUAACAUUAAAUCGUACCCCAAACCGACACAGGUGGUCAGGUAGAGAAUACCAAGGCGCUUGAGAGAACUCGGGUGAAGGAACUAGGCAAAAUGGUGCCGUAACUUCGGGAGAAGGCACGCUGGUGUGUAGGUGAAGCCCCUGCGGGUGGAGCUGAGACCAGUCGAAGAUACCAGCUGGCUGCAACUGUUUAUUAAAAACACAGCACUGUGCAAACACGAAAGUGGACGUAUACGGUGUGACGCCUGCCCGGUGCCGGAAGGUUAAUUGAUGGGGUUAUCCGUAAGGAGAAGCUCUUGAUCGAAGCCCCGGUAAACGGCGGCCGUAACUAUAACGGUCCUAAGGUAGCGAAAUUCCUUGUCGGGUAAGUUCCGACCUGCACGAAUGGCGUAAUGAUGGCCAGGCUGUCUCCACCCGAGACUCAGUGAAAUUGAACUCGCUGUGAAGAUGCAGUGUACCCGCGGCAAGACGGAAAGACCCCGUGAACCUUUACUAUAGCUUGACACUGAACAUUGAGCCUUGAUGUGUAGGAUAGGUGGGAGGCUUUGAAGCGUGGACGCCAGUCUGCGUGGAGCCAACCUUGAAAUACCACCCUUUAAUGUUUGAUGUUCUAACGUUGGCCCCUGACCGGGGUUGCGGACAGUGUCUGGUGGGUAGUUUGACUGGGGCGGUCUCCUCCCAAAGCGUAACGGAGGAGCACGAAGGUUAGCUAAUCCUGGUCGGACAUCAGGAGGUUAGUGCAAUGGCAUAAGCUAGCUUGACUGCGAGCGUGACGGCGCGAGCAGGUGCGAAAGCAGGUCAUAGUGAUCCGGUGGUUCUGAAUGGAAGGGCCAUCGCUCAACGGAUAAAAGGUACUCCGGGGAUAACAGGCUGAUACCGCCCAAGAGUUCAUAUCGACGGCGGUGUUUGGCACCUCGAUGUCGGCUCAUCACAUCCUGGGGCUGAAGUAGGUCCCAAGGGUAUGGCUGUUCGCCAUUUAAAGUGGUACGCGAGCUGGGUUUAGAACGUCGUGAGACAGUUCGGUCCCUAUCUGCCGUGGGCGCUGGAGAAUUGAGGGGGGCUGCUCCUAGUACGAGAGGACCGGAGUGGACGCAUCACUGGUGUUCGGGUUGUCAUGCCAAUGGCACUGCCCGGUAGCUAAAUGCGGAAGAGAUAAGUGCUGAAAGCAUCUAAGCACGAAACUUGCCCCGAGAUGAGUUCUCCCUGAGACUUUAAGUCUCCUGAAGGAACGUUAAAGACGAUGACGUUGAUAGGCCGGGUGUGUAAGCGCAGCGAUGCGUUGAGCUAACCGGUACUAAUGAACCGUGAGGCUUAACCUU